UACGGAGGGUGCAAGCGUUAAUCGGAAUUACUGGGCGUAGAGCGCACGUAGGUGGUUUGCUAAGUCAGCUGUGAAAUCCCCGGGCUCAACCUGGGCACUGCAGUUGAAACUGGCAAGCUAGAGUAGGGUAGAGGGGUGUGGAAUUCCAGGUGUAGCGGUGAAAUGCGUAGAUAUCUGGAGGAACAUCAGUGGCGAAGGCGACACCCUGGACUCAUACUGACACUGAGGUGCGAAAGCGUGGGGAGCAAACAGG
rnacentral:rRNA from 1 species